UACGGAGGGUGCAAGCGUUAUUCGGAAUCACUGGGCGUAAAGAGUUCGUAGGCGGUUUGCUAAGUCUGAUGUGAAAGCCCCGGGCCCAAUCCGGGAAGUGCAUUGGAUACUGGCAGGCUAGAGUUCGGGAGAGGAGAGUGGAAUUCCAGGUGUAGAGGUGAAAUUCGUAGAUAUCUGGAGGAACAACGGAAGCGAAGGCGACUCUCUGGACCGUUACUGACGCUGAGGAACGAAAGCGUGGGGAGCAAACAGG
rnacentral:rRNA from 1 species